CUUGAAUGAUUUUGGACUUUUGACCUCUAAAAGUGAAUUUGCCCAUCUGCCCAAAGAAAGAGAAGGAAACCAGGUUGCGCGCUGUCAUCUUUUCCUCAUUCACCUAUGUGAAAUGCUAAUUACAGAAAGUACAACCAAGAAAAUACUACCUUUUUGAAAAAAAAAAAACAAAACCAUUCAGCAGGUACCUGCUGUCAGGAUAUAAUUAUACAAAGUGGAAUUGGUCUCAAGCAAGAAGUGAAGGUGACCAUCCCAGCCACAUAAAGUGCCUCGGGAGCUCCUCUAAUUACCACCGACUGGAGACUUAGUCUUCUAUCUCUUUCAAAUAAUGUCAGCAGCAGCAGCGACAGCCUGCAUCUUCCUGCAUCACACUUUUUCAUUAGUCUGCUCUGACUCACCCUCCUCACCUUCUUCCACCCAAUAAACCUUCCAUUGAGUGA